UUUUUGGGGAAAUUUUUGGGGAUUUUUUUGGAAAUUUGGGGGUAAAUUCUGUGGAUUUUUGGGUUUUUUGGGGGGGAAUUUUUGGGGGAUUUUUGGGGAUUUUUUCGGGAAUUUUUUGGGAUUUUUUUGGGGAUUUUUCGGGGAAUUUUUGGGGAAUUUUUCGGGUCCAUUUUGUGGAAUUUUGGGGGAGUUUUGGACAAAUUUGGGGGGAAUUUGGGGAAUUUGGGGGAGUCCCAGGUGAGUUCCAGCUGUAUCCAGGUGUCCCCAGCUGUCCCCAGGUGUGUCCAGGUGUCCCCAGGUGUCUCCAGGUGUCUCCAGGUGUAUCUCAGGUGUCUCCAGGUGUCCCCAGGUGUGUCCCCAGGUGUCCCCAGGUGUCCCCAGCUGUCCCCAGGUGUCCCCAGGUGUCCCCAGGUGUCCCCAGGUGUCCCCAGCUGUGUCUCAGCUGCAGGGCCGGAAGGGCCGGGCGGUGACGCCCCCGUGCAGCUCCAGCCCCGCCCUGGCCCAGGCCAGCAGGUCCCCGCGGGCGGGUGACGCACACCUGGCCAGCGCCGCCACCUCGGGCGGGGCCAGGGCGCGGCUCCACAGGUGGAACUCGGCCAAUUCGCCCACGAACGCCUGGGUGGCGUCAAAACGACCCCCGAGGGAGUCCUGGGGGAGAGAGACAGGGGGGAUACACCUGAGGAGGGGUGAAAUACACCUGGGACAGGUGAAAGACACCUGGGGAGGGAUGAAAUACACCUGGGGAGGGGUGAAAUACACCUGGGGAGGGGUAAAAUACACCUGGAGAGGGGUGAAAUACACCUGGGGACACACAGACACACCCGGGGACAGGUAAAAUACACCUGGGGAGGGGUGAAAUACACCCAGAGCACACACAGACACACCUGGGGACACCUGGGACAGGUGAAAUACACCUGGAGACACACAGACACACCUGGGGACACGUGGGGAGGGGUGAAAUACACCUGGAGAGGGGUGAGACACACCUGGGGACACACAGACACACCUGGGGACACACAGACACACCUGGGGACACACAGACACACCUGGGGAGGGGUAAAACACACCUGGGACACACCUAAACACACCUGGAGUUCACCCAGACACACCUGAACUCACACCUGAACUCACACCUGAACUCACACCUGAACUCACACCUGAACUCACACCUGAACU
rnacentral:lncRNA from 1 species